rnacentral:lncRNA from 1 species
GCCUUACUCUAAAAUGUAUUAAAUCGUUUUUUCCACUCAUCUACACACAAUACCCCAUAAUGACAAAGCAAAAACAGGUUGAGUGGUCAGAACGCUCGGAUCAACUUGUGCCUCUGAGAGCGAAAUGCUCUGAAUUUAUUAAAGGACAAUCUGACUCUGACUCUCCAAUACUCUGAAUUUACAAAUGCCCAGAGCACACUCUGAGUGUCCCUGGCACUCCAGAUUGAAUUUACGAGGUUAUGUGAGGUUUUAUGUGUUGUUGUUGGAGGUGCGUCUUGGUCAGUUUAGCUCAGAAAAUGCUGCCCUCCUCAAUGGCCCCCUAAUCGUGCCUAAUUAGCGGGCCGACCGUGGUUACUCAUCAUUUAACAUCUAAACAGCCCUUGCCCAAAAUGCCAGAUGGCCAGGCCACCCCUGGUGGGCAGGGCUAAAACAAUGGUAUCUGAGCCUGCGCGCUGGCCUCUGUUCGCCGAUAGACGAGACCACCUCGCUGCUUUUUUGCUACAGCUAGAACAAGUCGUAUAAUUUACUGAUAUUAAAUUAUAUCAGCAAUUUCAACCGUAACAACAAUAUUUUACAAUGGCUAGGUACAUGAGGCCCCCUAACCCAUCACUCUUCAUUAGAAACAUCUCCGACGAAUCCAGGCCAGAGGAACUACGCCGUGAAUUUGGUCGUUAUGGGCCUAUUGUAGAUGUCUACAUUCCACUUGACUUCUCUACACGGCGACCAAGAGGAUUUGCUUACAUUCAAUAUCCUUUAUACUCAUAAAUGUUAGACGUACAGUUCUGGAGAAACCCCAACAAAGAAUGUAAAGACUGGUGUAGUGUAGUUUCAAGCCAAAGGGACCAUAAUGAUUUCAGGCAACAGGAAAUAGUGGGAGAAGAACACAAAGAGCAAAGUUAAAGCACGAAGAUACAAGGAGGCGAAAAGAGGGCACGAAGGCAGCCGUUUGUCUACCAAAGAAAGGAAAAUAAAAGGAUGUAUUGGGCGAAGACAAGCCGGAAAUCUCAAGUUCUUCUGCCAAGCAGUUAAAGAGCAUAAAGGUCAAGCUGAAGCUCAAAGGUCAAGCAUGUUAAAGGUAACAAGCUUAAUGUUUUCACAUUCGAGGACGUGCGAGAUGCAGAGGAUGCCCUCCACAACCUGGACCACAAGUGGGUGUGUGGUCGACAGAUCGAGAUCCAGUUUGCACAGGGUGACCGAAAAACCCCCAACCAGAUGAAGACUAAGGAGAGCUCUCCUCGCAGAGGGUCCCGCAGCAGCUCCUUCUCCCGCUAUGACGACUACGAACGCGGCGAUGGCCGACGCAGACGCUCUCGCAGUCGCAGCUAUGAAAGGCGCCGGUCACGCAGCCCUUCCUGCGACCGCCGUCCUCGGAGGUCGGAGAGCCCUAGAGACUCUCGAUCAUAUGGCAGGCACAGGCGAAGCAGAAGCCAUGAAAAUGACAGGUACAGGGGCCCUCCACGUGAACACCACAGGAUGCACCACGCACCCCCGUCUCGUAACCGCUCCGCAUCCCGCUCCCCCUCUCCUCCCAGAUCCAGGCCCAAAGACACAAAGUCUCAGUCCAAAUCCCCCAGCCCCGUCAAGGACUUCCACCCCUCUUCUGGCUCCCAGAAACAGGCCUGUCGACGCUCCUACUCCAGAUCUGUGUCCCGAUCUCGCUCCAGAUCCUAGGACCCCACCACCUUCAAACCCUGUUAUUCUGUAGCUAAAGGUGUUUUUGUUCAACACUACAACAUAUGAAUAUGGUAUCUAGGGAGUGGUUAUUACACACCCCACCUCGGUUCAUUAGUUGAGUUAACAUGAUAUCUCUGGGCUGAUGCCAUACAACAGGAGAGCUGGUUGUCCCUACAGAUGGAUAGUACUUUUUUAUGUUAGUUCAGUUUCAUUCACCUCUGAAAAACAUUGGCUGUCUUCAAUUUACAUUCAUAUCGGUUUAAUUCUAUUAAUUGAGAACCCAAUGGAUUUAAGUUCAGCACAUAAGAAUUGGUCAACUAUGAAAUGCAAAUGUACAGUUUUGGGCUAACGGGUAUUAACCUCUGGCUACAGAAGAGGUUAAGAGUCCAAAAACCCAUUUAUAAGAAAAGAGAAGUUAUAAAUCUGGAGUUAGCAGCGAUAUCUAGCCAUCAAGUUAACUGCUAUUAUUUUUGUACAUUUGAUGUUGCUAAAAUCUCCUGCAUUUAUUUUUUUUGUUGAUCAAUUGUUAUUUUUUGUGUUCAAAUCGAGCAGCAGUGUUUUCUUUUUGUGGAUUAAAAAUGUUAUGUUUUAACUUUUCUAAUCAUCCGAGUUGUACAAAGAUGUCGCUCCCUUGAAAGUAUGAGACACCGGACAGUUUGUUAGGGACACCUAUCCAUUACUGUGUUGCCCCACCCCCCCCUUCCCCUCCAGAACAGCCAGUAUUCUUCGGGCCGUUCUACAAGGUGUCAGUAGUGUUCCACAGGGAUUUUGGACCUUGCUGGUGCAAUGGCAUCUCGCAGAUUGGAGACAUCACGCAAACAUUCAUGCUGCGAACAGCCCGUUCAAUCUCAUCCCAAAGAUGCUCUAAGUAAAAUGAACUCGCUGUCAUGUUCCAGGUGCUGUUUUUCCACUCAGUUGUCCAGUGUUGGUGAUCGUGUGCCCACUGGAGGCGCUUCUUCUUCUUGUUUUUAACUUAUAGGAGUGGAACCCGGUGUGGUUGUCUGCUGUAUAGCCCAUCAGUGACAAGCAUCAACAAGUUGUGCAUUCUGAGAUUCCGUUCUCCGUCGAUUAGGUUACUCGUUUUGUCCAUCCUAACGUUCAAUUUAACAAUGUCUCGAUGCAUGCUUUAUAUAGCAAGCCACGGUUUGUAGGAGCGAUCAAUUUUUUGGGUGAGCUGGGUGGUUUACCAAAUAAAAGUAUUGUUGGAUAGGUUUAAUUCUGUCUGACUUCUUACCUGUAAAGUUUUAAAAUGUACCCUAUUGGUAAUAUUUUUUUGUGUAAUAUACACUACAUGACCAAAAGUAUGUGGCCAUCUGCUCUUCGAACAUCUCAUUCCAAAAUCAUGGUCAUUAAUAUGGAGUUGGUACCCCCCCUUUGCUGCUAUAACAGCCUCCACUCUUCAGAGAAGACUUUCCACUAGAUUUUGGAAGAUUGCUGCAGGGACUUCAAUUCAGCCAUGUGCAUUAGUGAG